GAAAUUAUGAUGUUACUUGGAGUAUUAAUUAACUUUAACAUAUGGGAUUCCUAUAGGUAAAACAAGGACUCAAACUGUGAUGUCACUGGAGUAUUAAUUAACUUUAACAUGUGGCAUUCUUAUAGGUAAAACAAGAACUCAAAUUUAAGAAAGGAAAAGUGCAUGUCAAUGAAUGGAAAUCUUGGCUUAAACAGAAGAAUAGUGCAACCAAACCUCCAAUAUCUUACCGAGUUCUCUUGAUCCAGAAGUAAUUUCAAGGCCAUGUGCAUGAAGCUGGCUCGCAAUAGUACAGCCGAACCUCCAAUAUCUUACAGAGUUCUCUUGAUCCAGAAGUAAUUUGAAUCAUUUCAAGGCCCUGUGCAUGAAG